rnacentral:lncRNA from 1 species
UCCUUGCAAAACUCUUCAAAUUUAGCCUCUGUGAACUGAUGCCCAUUAUCAGUGAUCAGUACUUGGGGUAGGCCAAACCGACAUAUGAUUGAUUUCCAAAUGAAACCUAUAUUCUUACUUAUGUGAUACGGGCCAGCGAUUCGAUUUCUACUCAUUUAGUAAAAUAGUCUAUGACAAUGAGCAAGAACUUACAUUGACCCGAUACCUAUGGAAAGGGG